ACGGAGGGUGCAAGCGUUGCUCGGAAUCACUGGGCGUAAAGCGUACGCAGGCGGCUUGUUAAGUCGGAUGUGAAAUCCCGGGGCUCAACCCCGGAACUGCAUUCGAAACUGGCAGGCUUGAAUACUGGAGAGGGAAGCGGAAUUCCUGGUGUAGAGGUGAAAUUCGUAGAUAUCAGGAGGAACACCUGUGGCGAAAGCGGCUUCCUGGCCAGAUAUUGACGCUCAUGUACGAAAGCGUGGGUAGCAAACAGG
rnacentral:rRNA from 1 species